CGNCCGGGCGGACGGGUGCGUAACGCGUAUGUAACCUACCUUUGACAGGGGGAUAACAUCGAGAAAUUGGUACUAAUACCCCAUAACAUCACCGGAGGCAUCUUCGGUGGUUGAAAACUCAGGUGGUCAGAGAUGGACAUGCGUUGUAUUAGCUAGUUGGUGAGGUAACGGCUCACCAAGGCGACGAUACAUAGGGGGACUGAGAGGUCAACCCCCCACAUUGGUACUGAGACACGGACCAAACUCCUACGGGAGGCAGCAG
rnacentral:rRNA from 1 species